rnacentral:rRNA from 1 species
GUCCUAGCCUAACGAUGAGUGCUUGGUGUGGCGGGUAUCGAUCCCUGCCGUGCCGAAGCUAACGCAUUAAGCACUCCGCCUGGGAGUACGGUCGCAAGGCUGAACUCAAGGAAUUGACGGGGCCCGCACAAGCGGUGGAGCAUGUGGUUCAAUUCGACGCAACGCGAAGAACCUUACCUGGGCUUGAACUGUAGAUGACAUUCGGCGAAAGCCGGCUUCCGCAAGGACAUCUGCAGAGGUGCUGCAUGGCUGUCGU